rnacentral:lncRNA from 1 species
CUUUUCUUUCGGCUGUGCUCCAUUGCAGCUUCUGUGACAAUAUUCCGGGAUCUUAACUUCUCUAGAAACGUCAUUUCCAUAAACAACAGGAAUGUCUAUUUGGUGUUUUCUUAUUUCUGGUUUUUCGUGGGACUUCCGAUGGGUGUCUUUUCUGCCAUAUUUCGUAUUCUAAAAACAAUGAUUGUGGGAUUUCUGAUGUUGCCCAGAAUUGAUCAUAGCAUCAUGCCUGAUGGUUUUCAACGGUUUGAUCCAGGUUACAAUGCGUACAUCUGUUAUCUUCACGUCCAAGCAGCUUUCAGAAACCCAGUUCUUCGAGUGGUUUGUCAAACACUGAUCGAUGAUCACGAAACACAAAGGAAAUGUGGACCAAAGUGGACUCGCUCUCCCCAGGCCCGCGCCAAGUGGUUCAUCGCACUCACCUUGGCUCGCAAUCCACAACUUGCAGCUGAACGAAAACGUGCGAACACAAUGUGUGUCAAAGAUAGCGACGUCAAAAUCGAUGUUGGUAAUUAUGGCCCAGAUAAUGCAGGAUUAAUACUAGAUAAGUAAACAAUGUUAAGUUUGCAUGUUUCUUUAGACUUUCUUUUUUAUUAGCUAGUUAUAGUUGUAUUAGAUUUUCUUUUUUUAUUAGCUAGUUGUAUUACGUUUGGAAACGAACCGUGCAUGACAAAACAUUUUCAUCCACACAUGCAUUUUCGAAUGUGAAAAGCACGGUGUUUUGACGAUAUCAAGCCUUGUUGUCAUGUUGUGGUUAAUGAAGAAAUGUAGUAUUAAAAUAACAAAUAUAGUGCACCGGUACAAGGUUCCUCACAAAGCUAUUGGAUCCCAAACACUGUCCUUGCUGCGAUCCUUGCUUGCUAAAGCAGGAAUAUCUGUAGACUACACGGGACAUUCAACGAGAUCAACCUCGAUAUCGGAAGCGCAAACGUGGGCGUGCCGUUGGAGAUUAUACUAGGUGCAGCUUGAUUGGUUUUCGGCAAAUGUUUUUAACAAACAUCAUAAAAAGACUCAAAAUACCUUUGCAAAUGCUGUGUUAAGUACAUAGUUGUUGAAAAUUAAAAGUUCAUUUUCUGUUUUGCUUUGUUUGUCGGUUUAGUAUCAGAGGCCUUGCAGUAAGGCUUUGAAAUCUGCACCAGUAUUGUGAGUAUCAGUCGAAGAAGGUACG